GCCCUCUUAGCUCAGGGGAUAGAGCAAUGGUUUCCUAAACCAUGUGUCGCAGGUUCGAAUCCUGCAGGGGGCACCU
rnacentral:tRNA from 1 species